CGCGUAGGUGGCCAAUUAAGUCAAAUGUGAAAUCCCCGAGCUUAACUUGGGAAUUGCAUUCGAUACUGGUUGGUUAGAGUAUGGGAGAGGAUGGUAGAAUUCCAGGUGUAGCGGUGAAAUGCGUAGAGAUCUGGAGGAAUACCGAUGGCGAAGGCAGCCAUCUGGCCUAAUACUGACACUGAGGUGCGAAAGCAUGGGGAGCAAACA
rnacentral:rRNA from 1 species